rnacentral:rRNA from 1 species
GACGGAACCGUGCGAACGUUGUUCGGAAUCACUUGGGCUUAAAGGGCGCGUAGGCGGGUCAGCAAGUCCGGGGUGAAAUCUUUCGGGCUUAACCGGAAAAGUGCCUUGGAUACUGCUGGUCUUGAGGGAGGUGAGGGGCGCGGCGGAACUUCCGGUGGAGGCGGUGAAAUGCGUAGAUAGUCUGGAAGGAAUACCGGUGGCGAAGGCGGCAGUCCUGGACCGACAUUGACGGCGUGAUGGAG